rnacentral:rRNA from 1 species
AGCGAACGCUGGCGGCAGGCCUAACACAUGCAAGUCGAACGAACUCUUCGGAGUUAGUGGCGGACGGGUGAGUAACACGUGGGAACGUGCCUUUUGGUUCGGAAUAACUCAGGGAAACUUGUGCUAAUACCGAAUGUGCCCUUCGGGGGUAAGAUUUAUCGCCAUUAGAGCGGCCCGCGUCUGAUUAGCUAGUUGGUGAGGUAACGGCUCACCAAGGCGACGAUCAGUAGCUGGUCUGAGAGGAUGACCAGCCACACUGGGACUGAGACACGGCCCAGACUCCUACGGGAGGCAGCAGUGGGGAAUCUUGCGCAAUGGGCGAAAGCCUGACGCAGCCAUGCCGCGUGAAUGAUGAAGGUCUUAGGAUUGUAAAAUUCUUUCACCGGGGACGAUAAUGACGGUACCCGGAGAAGAAGCACCGGCUAACUUCGUG